rnacentral:rRNA from 1 species
GUCUAUGGCCAUGCCACCCUGAUCAUGCCUGAUCUUGGAAGCUAAGCAGGGUCGGGCCUGGUUAGUACUUGGAAGGGAGACCACCUAGGACUGUCAGGUGCUAUAGGUG